UUACGGCCAUAUCAUGUUGAAACACCGGUUCCUGCACCGUCAAUGAAGUUAAGCAACGUCGAACCUGGUCAGUACCUAGAUGGGUGACCGCUUGGGAAUACCAGAUGCUGUAG